rnacentral:lncRNA from 10 species
GGAGAGCUGAUGCACAAGCCCACAGUAGGAGACCCACGUAUUGAGGGACUGAAGUUUCAGCAGCACAUGAGUGACCUUCGAAAUGGAUCCUCCAUCACCUUCAGAUGACUGCAGCCCUGGAUCACAACUUCACCACAACCUUGAGAGUGACCCUCACCUUGAACCUCCCAGCCAAGCUGUUCUCAGAAGGCCAGCUAACUUCCAAAAUUACCCCAGGAUUCAUCAUAUCAAGGGGCAAAUGGCUUCCUGUUUCUCUCUGUGUCCUCUCAGGGCAUUAGUGUCUGGCCCUCUCUCAAGGUACCUGAAUGCUGGGAGCCUGAAUCUGACAAUGCCCAUUGCACCUCACAAAUCAGCUUGAGACAAUGCUCACAUAUGUUCCCCCUGCUUCAUAUGUCUCGGUUAUACUUGAGUAACGCUCAUAUACUUUUACCCCAUUUUGUAUCUCUCAGUUAUACUUGAAUAACGCUCAUAUACUUUUCCCAUUUCGUAUCUCUCAGUUGUACUUGAGUAACACUCAUACAUUUUUCCCAUUUCGUAUCUCUCAGUUGUUACUCAGUUGAGUAACACUCAUAUACUUUUCCCCUGUUUUGUAUCUCUCUGUUAUACCUUGAGUAAUGCUCAUAUACUUUUCCCCUACCUUGCAUCUCUUAAUUAGAAAAAUGCCACACAUGGUGUUCCAGGCUACUCUCUCAAGAGAUUAUGUAAGUAAUGACUCCUAAACUGGGAAAAGACAUACAACUCUGCAGAUGAGUUUGAACUCUUUUCUCCUCCCUUCCUCCAGGUGGUUCCUUUCCAAAGAUGAUAUAAUUAGCAAUAAAGUCAAUAAAAUCUGGAUUUUUUUCUAACUCAUCCAAAAACUGUUACCCAG